rnacentral:rRNA from 1 species
GGCUCAGAUUGAACGCUGGCGGCAGGCUUAACACAUGCAAGUCGAGCGGUAACAGAGAGAAGCUUGCUUCUCUGCUGACGAGCGGCGGACGGGUGAGUAAUGCCUAGGAUAUCUGCCUAGUAGUGGGGGAUAACUUGCCGAAAGGUAAGCUAAUACCGCAUACGUCCUACGGGAGAAAGGAGGGGACCUUCGGGCCUUUCGCUAUUAGAUGAGCCUAGGUCGGACUAGUUAGUUGGUGAGGUAAUGGCUCACCAAGACCGCGAUCCGUAUCUGGUCUGAGAGGAUGAUCAGUCACACUGGAACUGAGACACGGUCCAGACUCCUACGGGAGGCAGCAGUGGGGAAUAUUGGACAAUGGGGGAAACCCUGAUCCAGCCAUGCCGCGUGUGUGAAGAAGUCUUAGGACUGUAAAGCACUUUAGUUGGGAGG